GCAAGCACCCCGGAAGAACAACUGAGUGUGUACGGGCAUUUGCAGGCCUUCGACCAUAGAGAUGAGACGCUCUAGGAAGAUCUCGGAGGCCAGCGAAGACUCGGCGUGGUCACGUGACAACGUCCCUCGUGGUUACCCAGGCUGCCGGAUCGGAACCAUCGAGGGUUGUCCCCGCGCCGGUCUUCGAGGUCGGCACUGCAACCCUGGGAGGGAAGACGCGCGAAGAACGCGGUUUGUCCUUCUCUGCAGCCGGGAAAUCGAGGCCCGAGCCGUGGACUGCCCUGCCCGCAUGGGGAGUAAGGUUGCACCCGUCUGGGUGGGAUCGCCGAACCUGCAGCAUCCUUGCUUUCUCCUGCGCACCUGUCCUACUGCAGACGUCAGUCCAGGGAGAGACGCCGCCCUGUGCAAGAGCCACGUGUCCCCGCGCUGCAGAGGGCGGACGAGCACAGAGGAGGAAGGCAGGAUGGCGGACUGCUGGCGCCGGGGGGAAAAGAAUUAACCCCCUGACGGGAACGUGGCCCAAUUUAUUUGUUAGGCACUGAAGACUAAAGAGCAACAAGACGUGCUAAGUAGUGAUAAUCGUGUAUGAAGAAGUUAGCUACCGACCCAGUUUUACAGAGGAGAGGCUCUGAGACCGGGUGGAAUCGGUACCCUACGAAGUGCCUUCUGUGGUAGGGCUGUUGAGGCGGCAGGACCCGGCAUGAGUGACGGUUUUAUUGCCACGUUCUCACAUACAGAGAGGAGUGUGCCACCCUUUUCAGCUGGGCUUCUUGGUUGCCCUUGAGACGGGAAGAGGGGCAGCCUGAGCGGAGCGCAUCAGGAAGUCUUUGCCAUAGCAGGGAGAGUGGCAGAAAGGAUGGAGCCUGGGAAAGGCUCAGGGUAAAAUUCACAGAGAAUCUGGAGACACACUGGGGAAAGAAAGAAAUGGCCGUGAAGGUGAACAGGAUGGUUGAAGAGCGAGGCCAAGGAUUAUUUCCAAAUUUCCAGUAUUGAAAGAAACCAAGCCCUGCCCCACUCCCAUCUCAGCACAAGACACCUCCUUCUAAAGUGGACACAAAAACCUCAUGGUAGUUUUGGACAAGCUACAAUUCAGAUACCAUUAUUCAGACGUUACUCUGAGAACAAACACCAGAUCAACACUGAGAAUUCCCUGAUCAGGCAUCACAAAAACCAUGCACUGGAAGAAUAUGCUAUUAACUGCCAAAUAUGGACUAUUACAGCUGGUCUAAUCCUGAAAAUCCAUUUACACUAAUAGAAACUAGAUCUCUGUGUCUAUGUAUGUGCCUGUGUAUGUGUGUGUGUAAUUUUCAUGCAAUGAUCUUAAAGCUUUUGAGAUAGGGGUUGGAAAGUCUAAUACCAAGGCUUGUCCGUUUAGCAGCACUAAUGUGCCCCAA